UGUACAGUAGGCAUAAUGUGAUUGGUUAUGUAUUGUACAGUAGGCAUAAUGUGAUUGGUUAUGUACUGUACAGUAGGCCUAAUGUGAUUGGUUAUGUAUUGUACAGUAGGCAUAAUGUGUUGGUUAUUUACAUGUACAGUAGGCAUAAUGUGAUUGGUAUAUAUUGUACAGU
rnacentral:lncRNA from 1 species